AUGCAAAUCUAUAUGCCUGUGUCUAGGAAAAAUAACAGUUCUCUAGGCAACUUAACAGCAUGUCUUGAGGAUGUGAAAGCUUGGCUUGCCAAUAAUUUUCUUUUUCUGAACUCAGACAAAACAGAAGUCAUUGUUUUUAACUCCUCAGAAUCCAGGCCUAAUAAUUACCUUGACCUUGAAUCUCUAAAUCAGUUCAUCUCUCCCCAAGUACGGAAUCUAGGUGUGAUGGUAAAUAUGUGCCUCAAAUUUGACAAGCAGAUAAGCGCAGUCAUUGGGUCCAGCUUCUUCUCUCUUCGCUCUUUAACAAAAAUCAAAUCUUUUCUCCCUAAGCGCUCCAUGGAGACUGCUAUCCAUGCUCUUAUUACCUCUCGCCUGGACUAUUGCAAUUCCCUAUACUUUGGUAUAUCUAAGUCCCAAACGGCACACCUACAGGUCGUUCAAAACGCAGCGGUGAGAUUCCUGAAGGGGAAGAGGAAAGUUGAUCAUGCUACCCCCCUCCUAAGAUCCCUUCACUGGCUUCCGAUUAAUUUUAGAAUUGAUUUUAAAAUUUUAUUACUGGUUUUUAAAUCAUUAAAUGAUUUAGCACCUUCUUAUUUGUCUGAUCUACUUUAUCCCUACCUUCCCACUAGAGGCCUUAGAUCCAAAGAUAAGCUCCUCCUUCAGAUUCCCACAACCCGGCUAAAAUCGAGGGGUAACCGAGCCUUUGAAGUGGCCGGCCCAACACUGUGGAACAAGCUCCCACUCCAUAUUAGAUCUGCCUCCACUUUGUCUGAGUUCAAAUCAUGUCUCAAAACUUACUGUAUCUAUUCUCUGUUGCUUAUAGUGUGUUCUAUCAUAAAUUGUUUUGCUACUAUUUGUGUACUUUAUAAGUGUUUUGUUUUAAACUGUUUUGCUGACUUUAGAGUACUUAAUCUUUUAUUUUUCCUAACUUGUACAGCACUUUGGUCGGCCUGUGGCCGUUUUUAUUUGUGCUUUAUAAAUAAACUGAACUUGAACCUUACAAAAUCAGCAGGGGAUCAAAUAAAUAUAUUUCCCCACUGUACAAUAAAAAUACAAAUAAAAUAA
ensembl:lncRNA